ACAAGUAGGUCUAAGUGAAGCCCCCCGCGGAGGAAUCCACAUUUCAGGGCGGAGCCAGGCCCAGGCAGCCAAAUAAAGCCAGCCGCAGUGCAACAGCCAUAGAAUACGAAAAUCCAUUUUCUGUAUGAGAGAGUCCUCCUACACGCUUAAAACAGACUUCAGACUCCAGGCAGAGAAAGGUCUUCCCUGCACCCCAAACAGUCAGGACUCCCGCUGGCGUCCUCUAACUUGACACCUUUCCCCUGUGCUCUACCAGGAAGUAGCGUGAGCAUCACACAGGUCAACCAGGAGUUUAGGGCCAAAGCUGUUCCUCCUCCCACUUCAGACGCCAACCACAAGUUCCCUCAUCAGUUCUCUCACCCGUGCUUCUGAACAACUGGUUCCUAGUCAUUGGCUUCCCACAAGCCUGUCCUUGAAUUCAGGUCCCUUUUUUCUGAUGGCAAUAGAAAAGAAAAUACCACGACUAACACAAGAGCACAAACCUUCAGUCUCAGCACUCGGGAUGUGGAGGCUGGCAGACCUAGACGUCUUCACGGUCCUUUCCCGGUCAAAGAAGUCUUUCCACACACCUGUCUUCUAGAGGUCCUUAUCACGGAACUUCACGUCGGGUUCUUCCCAAGAAUGCAAUCCUUCAGCCAAGCCGUUGGCCCUGGCUCUUUGACUCAUACACAAUCGUAUCAUCGUGAUCAGCAGUACAGAUGUCACUCUUAUAAGAGAAACAUGAUUUCUCAUGUGUGGGCUGGAUUGAGUGACUCCUCUAAAACCAACCUACUUCAUGAGGGAAGCAUUUCCACACCACUAAAUAAAAGCAGAAAAGCUAAGGCGUUUACACAAACAGAAUUUCUCCAGAGACUUCAAGUUUUUCUCUCCCCGCAGGGAGCUACCCGUUCCUAACAGGAAGAGGAUGUUUGUUUUCAGGUCCCACUUCUAUCUGGAGAAUAUUGCUGCCCUGCCCCACUUGUGCUUGCUGGGAUCAAACAACAGAAGCAGAAAAAAAAAAAGACAGUGUUGGUCAGAUGAUCUAACAGGACACCCAGUCUUCCAAGAGGACAAUCCCCAAAUCUGUCACUACUGUGGAAGACUCAGAGGCCAGUAUCCCCUUCACCCAGGUGAGAGCACCAAGGUCCACACUGGGAACGAUGAUUCCCUGGGAUCAGUUGAAAGUUAGUGAGAGUCUCAGGAUCAGAAGCCACACUUCACGUGGUAUGUGCGUGGCCAUCCAACAUGAAUUGUGCAUUUUGUAUUGGUUACUUUUCUCAUUGGGGGACCAGAUAACUGACUUUAAAACAAAGCAUCUUAUGGGAGGGACUCUGCCAAACCAUAAAGUCCAUCACAGUGGGAAGAUUUGAUGGCAGAAACAGUCUGGUCCAUAGCAUCAACCAGGAAGCAGAGAAAGGGAACACCAGUGUUCGGCCGGCCUUCUCAUUUUCCCUCCUGUAUUCAGUCUAGCCCCCAACUCCAUUAAAUGAUGCUUCCACUACAGGAUGUAGUUUCUUUCCUCUAUUAAUUCUCCCUGGAAACUCCUUCCCAGACACAUGUAGGCAUGUAUCUCUUAGGUGAUUCUAAAUGCAGUCGAGUUGAGUAAAGAUUGCCCAUCAUGCAUUUCUCACAACACAGACCAAAUGCACAUGGCUGCCAAGAGCAGAGGAGCUGAGGCAGUGGCUCAAGAUUCCACUCUCCCUGUUUGCUGGAUGCGUCAUUCAGUCUGCAUCUGCUAGCCCCCACCACAUCUGGUGGUGUAGAAGAGUGAGAGUAAGGGAUUAUGGCCAGGUAGGACCUUCAGAGUCAACGUCUCAGUGGCCUAAUCCGUUUACCUAGGCCCCACUUCCUGACACAUUCAUUACCUCUCCAAACAGCACUGCCAGCUCCUGGCCCAGGGUUCAACAUGAGCCUAUGGGGGGGGGACACUCAUAUUCGGACCAUAACAAUGGCUGUAUGUGAACAUAGGGUCUUUUAAGAGAUGGUAGAGUCAAAAUGAAGUCACUAGUGUAGACCCUAAUCCAACCUGACUGGUACUCUUAUGAGAUGGAGAGACCUGAAUGCAAACACUCAGGCAGGAGCAAUCACAGGAGGACAUGGGCAACAUUGCAAUCCAUAAGCCAAGGAAAGGACAACUCCUGUCCACAUCUUGACCCUCUACAGCCGAGAACACAUUUCUGUGGGUUAAGGCCCCAACCCGUGACUGUUUACUAUGGUCUUACCAGCAAGUGACCACACGUUGAAUUCACCAAGGAUUCUGGGUAGAAGUAGACAUCCCCCCACCUUCAAAGAGCAAGACCGGUCAGGCUCAGGUAUGGGCUCUUAUGGCAGAAACCCCAGCUUUAACCAACAUGGUGGGCCUCUGAUUAUUUCAGGCAGUUUGUAUUCCCUGGGUCUAAUUCUGUUUGCUUCUAGGGAACAAUUGGAGGAGUUUGCACAGCUUUCAAAGGUCAAUUUGGAACACAAAUAACUGAUUUAUGUAAUUAGCCACGUGCAAUUACAUGGCACUCCAUCAAGUGGCUUUCUCAUGAACCAGAUUGGCACCACCUGAUCCUUAUAAACAUAAAUAGAUCAGGUUGUUAAGUAACAAGUAAUUAAAAGGAGCACAUGAUAUUCUCUCUGGGUAACUCAGACU